rnacentral:rRNA from 1 species
GACGAACGCUGGCGGCGUGCUUAACACAUGCAAGUCGAGCGGUAAGGCCCCUUCGGGGGUACACGAGCGGCGAACGGGUGAGUAACACGUGAGCAAUCUGCCCAUCACAUCGGGAUAACUCCGGGAAACCGAAGCUAAUACCGAAUACGACCACCUCCGGCAUCGGAUGGUGGUGGAAAGUUCCGGCGGUGAUGGAUGAGCUCGCGGCCUAUCAGCUUGUUGGUGGGGUAACGGCCCACCAAGGCUUCGACGGGUAGCCGGCCUGAGAGGGUGACCGGCCACACUGGGACUGAGACACGGCCCAGACUCCUACGGGAGGCAGCAGUGGGGAAUAUUGGACAAUGGGCGAAAGCCUGAUCCAGCAACGCCGCGUGAGGGAUGACGGCCUUCGGGUUGUAAACCUCUUUCAGCAGGGACGAAGCGCAAGUGACGGUACCUGCAGAAGAAGCACCGGUCAACUACGUG